AAGGAGGUGAUCCAGCCGCACCUUCCGAUACGGCUACCUUGUUACGACUUCACCCCAAUCAUCUGUCCCACCUUAGGCGGCUAGCUCCUUACGGUUACUCCACCGACUUCGGGUGUUACAAACUCUCGUGGUGUGACGGGCGGUGUGUACAAGGCCCGGGAACGUAUUCACCGCGGCAUGCUGAUCCGCGAUUACUAGCGAUUCCAGCUUCAUGUAGGCGAGUUGCAGCCUACAAUCCGAACUGAGAAUGGUUUUAUGGGAUUGGCUUGACCUCGCGGUCUUGCAGCCCUUUGUACCAUCCAUUGUAGCACGUGUGUAGCCCAGGUCAUAAGGGGCAUGAUGAUUUGACGUCAUCCCCACCUUCCUCCGGUUUGUCACCGGCAGUCACCUUAGAGUGCCCAACUGAAUGCUGGCAACUAAGAUCAAGGGUUGCGCUCGUUGCGGGACUUAACCCAACAUCUCACGACACGAGCUGACGACAACCAUGCACCACCUGUCACUCUGUCCCCCGAAGGGGAACGCUCUAUCUCUAGAGU
rnacentral:rRNA from 1 species